rnacentral:rRNA from 1 species
UACGUAGGCAGCAAGCGUUGUUCGGAGUUACUGGGCGUAAAGGGUGUGUAGGCGGUUCUUUAAGUUUGGUGUGAAAUCUCCCGGCUCAACCGGGAGGGUGCGCCGAAUACUGAGGGACUAGAGUGUGGGAGAGGAAAGUGGAAUUCCUGGUGUAGCGGUGAAAUGCGUAGAUAUCAGGAGGAACACCGGUGGUGUAGACGGCUUUCUGGACCAUAACUGACGCUGAGACACGAAAGCGUGGGUAGCAAACAGG